GGUGUUGUUGACUGGAACAUGAAAUUUCUUUAUGUUCUACCUGGCUGGGAGGGUUCUGCUUCUGACUCCACAGUAUUGCAUGAUGCAAUGAGAAACGAUCGUCAAGAUGCAUUUGUUAUACCUCACGGAAAAUAUUACCUAGUGGAUGUUGGCUACGCCAAUGGACCUGGCUUUUUGGCUCCAUUCAGAUCGACUAGGUACCACUUGAAAGAGUGGGUUUCAAGUCAACAACAGCCCCAAACUUCUAAAGAAUUGUACAACUUGCAUCAUUCUCAUGCUAGAAAUGUAGUGGAGAGAACUUUCGGAUUGUGGAAGAAAAAAUAGGCCAUCCUAAGAAUUCAAUCUUUCUUUGACAUAAAUGACCAGGUAACAAAUGUCCAUAUGGUGUUAAAUAAUAUAUGGCUAGCAUGA
rnacentral:rRNA from 1 species